rnacentral:rRNA from 1 species
GACGAACGCUGGCGGCGUGCUUAACACAUGCAAGUCGAGCGGUAAGGCCCUUUCGGGGGUACACGAGCGGCGAACGGGUGAGUAACACGUGGGUGACCUGCCCUCAGCUCUGGGAUAAGCCUGGGAAACUGGGUCUAAUACUGGAUAUGACUCCACGGUGCAUGUCGUGGGGUGAAAGCCUUGUGCGGCUGAGGAUGGGCCCGCGGCCUAUCAGCUUGUUGGUGGGGUGAUGGCCUACCAAGGCGACGACGGGUAGCCGGCCUGAGAGGGCGACCGGCCACACUGGGACUGAGACACGGCCCAGACUCCUACGGGAGGCAGCAGUGGGGAAUCUUGCGCAAUGGGCGAAAGCCUGACGCAGCGACGCCGCGUGAGGGAUGAC